rnacentral:rRNA from 1 species
CCACGCUGUAAACGAUGUCGAUUUGGAGGUUGUGGUCUUGAACCGUGGCUUCCGGAGCUAACGCGUUAAAUCGACCGCCUGGGGAGUACGGCCGCAAGGUUAAAACUCAAAUGAAUUGACGGGGGCCCGCACAAGCGGUGGAGCAUGUGGUUUAAUUCGAUGCAACGCGAAGAACCUUACCUACUCUUGACAUCCUCAGAAGGUCUUGGAGACAAGACUGUGCCUUCGGGAACUGAGAGACAGGUGCUGCAUGGCUGU